GUGUGUGGCAGCACAUAUACUAAAAAUCUGGAAAGAUACAGAGAAGAUUAGCAUGGCCCCUGCACGAGGAAUGUUCCAUAAAAAAAGAGAGAGAGAGAGAAGUCCG